ACAGCAGUAGCCACGGUAAUACAGAGGGUGCGAGCGUUAAUCGGAUUUACUGGGCGUAAAGCGUGCGUAGGCGGCUUCUUAAGUCGGAUGUGAAAUCCCUGAGCUUAACUUAGGAAUUGCAUUCGAUACUGGGAAGCUAGAGUAUGGGAGAGGAUGGUAGAAUUCCAGGUGUAGCGGUGAAAUGCGUAGAGAUCUGGAGGAAUACCGAUGGCGAAGGCAGCCAUCUGGCCUAAUACUGACGCUGAGGUACGAAAGCAUGGGGAGCAAACAGGAUUAGAUACCCCGGUAGUCCCUGUCUCUUAUAA
rnacentral:rRNA from 1 species